AACGAACGCUGGCGGCAGGCUUAACACAUGCAAGUCGAACGGGUGCAGCAAUGCAUCAGUGGCAGACGGGUGAGUAACACGUGGGAACCUUCCUAGGGGUACGGAACAACUCAGGGAAACUUGAGCUAAUACCGUAUACGUCCGUAAGGAGAAAGAUUCAUCGCCCCUAGACGGGCCCGCGUCGGAUUAGGUAGUUGGUGGGGUAACGGCCUACCAAGCCUGCGAUCCGUAGCUGAUCUGAGAGGAUGAUCAGCCACACUGGGACUGAGACACGGCCCAGACUCCUACGGGAGGCAGCAGUGGGGAAUCUUGGACAAUGGGCGCAAGCCUGAUCCAGCCAUGCCGCGUGAGUGAAGAAGGCCUUAGGGUUGUAAAGCUCUUUUACCAGGGACGAUAAUGAGGUACCUGGAGAAUAAGCCCCGCAAACUUCGUGCCAGCAGCCGCCGCAGUAAC
rnacentral:rRNA from 1 species